rnacentral:rRNA from 1 species
CCUACGGGAGGCAGCAGUAGGGAAUCUUGCGCAAUGGGCGAAAGCCUGACGCAGCCAUGCCGCGUGAAUGAUGAAGGUCUUAGGAUUGUAAAAUUCUUUCACCGGGGACGAUAAUGACGGUACCCGGAGAAGAAGCCCCGGCUAACUUCGUGCCAGCAGCCGCGGUAAUACGAAGGGGGCUAGCGUUGCUCGGAAUUACUGGGCGUAAAGGGAGCGUAGGCGGAUAGUUUAGUCAGAGGUGAAAGCCCAGGGCUCAACCUUGGAACUGCCUUUGAUACUGGCUAUCUUGAGUACGGGAGAGGUGUGUGGAACUCCGAGUGUAGAGGUGAAAUUCGUAGAUAUUCGGAAGAACACCAGUGGCGAAGGCGACACACUGGCCCGUUACUGACGCUGAGGCUCGAAAGCGUGGGGAGCAAACAGGAUUAGAUACCCUGGUAGUCCACGCCGUAAACGAUGAGUGCUAGUUGUCGGCAUGCAUGCAUGUCGGUGACGCAGCUAACGCAUUAAGCACUCCGCCUGGGGAGUACGGUCGCAAGAUUAAAACUUAAAUGAAUUGACGG